UACAGAGGGUGCAAGCGUUAAUCGGAUUUACUGGGCGUAAAGGGCGCGUAGGUGGUUGUUUAAGUGAGAUGUGAAAUCCCCGGGCUUAACCUGGGAAUGGCGUCUGAAACUACGGAGCUGGAGUGUGGCAGAGGGAGGUAGAAUUCCACGUGUAGCGGUGAAAUGCGUAGAUAUGUGGAGGAAUACCGAUGGCGAAGGCAGCCUCCUGGGCCAACACUGACGCUCAUGCACGAAAGCGUGGGGAGCAAACAGG
rnacentral:rRNA from 1 species